CUAGUCGAGUGGCUCAGCCAAUACGAGUCACGGCACACAGCUCAGUAACACGUGGCUAACCUGCCCUUAGGACGAGAACAACCCCGGGAAACUGGGGCUAAUUCUCGAUAGGCGAAGAACUCUGGAAUGAGUCUUCACCCAAAUAGUCCAGCGUUAUGCUCGUUGGACCGCCUAAGGAUGGGGCCGCGACCGAUCAGGUUGUUGGUGAGGUAAUGGCUCACCAAGCCUUUUACCGGUGCGGGCCGUGGGAGCGGGAGCCCGGAGAUGGGCACUGAGACAAGGGCCCAGGCCCUACGGGGCGCAGCAGUCGCGAAAACUUUGCAAUAAGCGAAAGCUUGACAGGGCUAUCCCGAGUGCCAUCCGCUGAGGAAGGCUUUUACCCAGUCUAGAACGCUGGGGGAAUAAGGAGAGGGCAAGUCUGGUGUCAGCCGCCGCGGUAAUACCAGCUCUCCGAGUGGUGUGGAUGUUUAUUGGGCCUAAAGCAUCCGUAGCUGGCUAGGUUAGUCCCUUGUUAAAUCCACCGAAUUAAUCGUUGGAUUGCGGGGGAUACUGCUUGGCUAGGGGACGAGAGAGGCAGACGGUAUUUUCGGGGUAGGGGUGAAAUCCUAUAAUCCCGGGAAGACCACCAGUGGCGAAGGCUGUCAGCUAGAACGCGCCCGA
rnacentral:rRNA from 1 species